rnacentral:rRNA from 1 species
GAAAUUGGUUUUUUGGUGCAGAACCCAAAUAUAAUAAGUAAGACGGAAAGACCCCGAGAGCUUAGAUUUAUUUUUUACCUGGGGAGGGGGUAUAUAAUUCAUGUAUUUUUGGAUCCUUCCGGGAUUAUAGGAAUAAGUUACCUCGGGGAUAACUAGGUAAGAAGCAAGGAGAGGUCAUAUUGAUUUGCUUGGUUGCCAUCUCGAUGUUGCCUUGGGAUAGCAAGAAGGCGCAGCAGCUUUUUUGUUGGGUCUGUUCGACCAUAGUUUCCCAUGA